AACGAACGCUGGCGGCAGGCUUAACACAUGCAAGUCGAACGAGAAACCAUCUUCGGAUGGCGGAAAGUGGCAAACGGGUGAGUAACACGUGGGAAUGUACCCCUUGGUUCGGGACAACAGUUGGAAACGACUGCUAAUACCGGAUAAGAACUACGGUUGAAAGAUUUAUCGCCGAGGGAUCAGCCCGCGCUAGAUUAGCUAGUUGGUAAGGUAAUGGCUUACCAAGGCUACGAUCUAUAGCAGGUUUGAGAGGAUGAUCUGCCACACUGGGACUGAGAUACGGCCCAG
rnacentral:rRNA from 1 species